UAGAUAAAGCAGGAACGCGGUGGUGAAA
rnacentral:piRNA from 1 species